rnacentral:rRNA from 1 species
GAGGGACAUGUCGGAUUACUGGGCGUAAGGGCGCGUAGGCGGGUUAGCAAGUCAGAUGUGAAAGCCCCGGGCUUAACUCGGGAAUUGCAUCUGAAACUGCUUUUCUUGAGUCCUGGAGGGGGUAGUGGAAUUCCCAGUGUAGCGGUGAAAUGCGUAGAUAUUGGGAGGAACACCUGCGGCGAAGGCGGCUACCUGGACAGUGACUGACGCUGAGGCGCGAAAGCUAGGGGAGCGAACGGGAUUAGAUACCCCGGUAGUCCUAGCCAUAAACGAUGGGCACUUGGUGUUGGGGGUAUUGAGUCCCCCGGUGCCGGAGUUAACACGUUAAGUGCCCCGCCUGGGGAGUACGGUCGCAAGACUGAAACUCAAAGGAAUUGACGGGGGCCCGCACAAGCGGUGGAGCAUGUGGUUCAAUUCGACGCAACGCGAAGAACCUUACCGGGGCUCGAACGGUGACUGCAAUCCUUGGAAACAGGGCGUUCUCUUCGGAGACGGUUACCGAGGUGCUGCAUGGCUGUCGUCAGCUCGUGUCGUGAGAUGUUGGGUUAAGUCCCGCAACGAGCGCAACCCUUGCCCUUAGUUGCUACCAGGUCAAGCUGAGCACCCUAAGGGAACUGUCGGCGAAAAGCCGGAGGAAGGUGGGGAUGACGUCAAGUCCUCAUGGCCCUUACGUCCCGGGCUACACACGUGCUACAAUGGUAGGUACAAAGGGUUGCCAACCUGCGAGGGGGAGCUAAUCCCAAAAAACCUAUCUCAGUUCGGAUUGCAGUCUGCAACUCGACUGCAUGAAGUCGGAAUCGCUAGUAAUCGCAGAUCAGCACGCUGCGGUGAAUACGUUCCCGGGCCUUGUACACACCGCCCGUCACAUCACGAAAGCCGGCUGUACUAGAAGUCGUUGAGCUAACCCUGCGCAAGCAGGGGAGCAUACGCCCAAGGUAUGGCUGGUGAUUGGGGUGAAGUCGUAACAAGGUAACCAAGACUGG